GACGAACGCUGGCGGCGUGCUUAACACAUGCAAGUCGAACGGUUAAGCGCCUUCCUUUUUGGUGGGUGUGGAUGAGUGGCGAACUGGUGAGUAACACGUUAGUAACCUGCCCCCUUCUUCUGGAUAACCGCAUGAAAGUGUGGCUAAUACUGGAUAUUCUGGGUCUGUCGCAUGAUGGGUCUGGGAAAGAUAUUGUUUCGGUGGGGGACGGUCUCGCGGCCUAUCAGCUUGUUGGUGGGGUGAUGGCCUACCAAGGCGGUGACGGGUAGCCGGCCUGAGAGGGUGGACGGUCACACUGGGACUGAGACACGGCACAGACUCCUACGGGAGGAAGCAGUGGGGAAUAUUGCACAAUGGGCGCAAGACUGAUGCAGCGACGGCGCGUGAGGGAUGGAGGCCGUCGGGUUGUGAACCUCUUUCGCCAGUGAAGCAGGCCUGCCUCGUUUGUGGGUGGGUUGACGGUAGAUGGAUAAGAAGCGCCGGCUAACUACGU
rnacentral:rRNA from 1 species